UAAAAGGUUGUGCCUUAGAGAAUUUGUGCACUUAAAAUUGAGAGGUUUAUGCAUUGAAGUGUUUUUGCACUGAAGUUAUCGGAUAAACGAAUUUCCUGCAUUUAUGAGAAUAGACCAAAAAUCACUCCAAAUAUAUGUUAACGCUGCUGUCUUCUUCUGGAGCAGUCGAGGAAUAAAAAACCCCAAAAUUUAGUUUGUGUCUGGUGUUAUUUCCCAUUUCACUAGCCCACACAAGGAAACUUGGAAUGACUUUUCAUAGGUAAGAAUAGUUUUUGGCUCUUUUUUCAUUAUGAAAUCUUGUUGAGAGCUUCCAGUCUAUGAGAGCUAACUAGUUAGCCACUAGCAAAACGCUAAGGCGAGCUAGCAGCUUGACAACCAAAUACCAGACGAUUAAUAGUAGCUGCAGUAUAGUUGUACAAGCAGUAGUAGUAAUACUAAAAGUACAAGCAGUAGUAGUAUAAAAUAGCUGUUAGAGUCAUAGAAGUAGUAUCAGCAUUUGUAAUAGUAUUACAAGUUGUAGUAGCAGUGCCAGUAUCAGCAGCAGUAGUUAGUGUACUACCACUACUACUAGUAGUUGUCACAUUGCUAUUACUACCACCAAUACUACCAAUAGUAGUUAUAAAGCCUAACUCAUGUAUAUCCAGAUUACCAUCUAUGUUCUUCCUCCAAACCCAUUUUAUGAUUGGGAUUACAGGCAGUUCUUUAGGACUGCUCUCAAAUAAUUGAAAUGUUACUAAACAAGGUUAUACUUAUCAAAUUAAAUAGCUCUGGUCUCCAGUAUAUUGGCGAAUUCGGUUCUUUGUACUUAAUUUAUUAGCAUGAUUUCUUUUUAAUAUGUUGUGUACAGACUUAAUUACUUCUCUGUCUACUUUUCUUACUCCAUGUAGGUUUCCCAGAGACUGUGGGUUGAGGAGGAAUUGGAAGUUUGUCGGCUUAGACCUGGUGUCAUUCCAUCAGUGUUUAACUUCCCGGCUCAUCAUGGAAAAGUACGUGCCAGAAAGACCACGACCAAGCAGCCUUGAGAUCUUAGGCAGCGUCUCCCUGAGGUCCCUCUCUAUCUCCCCACACAUCCACCAACCACUGGAACACAUCUCCAAAGUUCUGCCGGGCCAGCUCAGCUUCCCCUCAGAAGAAGUUCCACCACCUGCCAGAUGAAGGAGCCUUUUGAGAGGCAGCUGGCAUCGUGAUUGGACAGUACUUUGGUCUGUUCCAAUCCAGCUUCAGUUCCAGAGACGGCAGGCGGGACGAGUCAACGGAGGCCUGGUGGACGAAGGCAUGCAGCUGAGUACAAUCCAGAAAACAACAGAGGAGG
ensembl:lncRNA